AUUGAACGCUGGCGGCAUGCCUUACACAUGCAAGUCGAACGGCAGCACGGGUGCUUGCACCUGGUGGCGAGUGGCGAACGGGUGAGUAAUAUAUCGGAACGUACCUUAUUGUGGGGGAUAACGCAGCGAAAGCUGUGCUAAUACCGCAUAAUCCCUAAGGGGAAAAGCGGGGGACCGUAAGGCCUCGCGCAAUUAGAGCGGCCGAUACCUGAUUAGCUAGUUGGUGAGGUAAAGGCUCACCAAGGCAACGAUCAGUAGCUGGUCUGAGAGGACGAUCAGCCACACUGGGACUGAGACACGGCCCAGACUCCUACGGGAGGCAGCAGUGGGGAAUUUUGGACAAUGGGGGCAACCCUGAUCCAGCAAUGCCGCGUGAGUGAAGAGGGCCUUCGGGUUGUAAAGCUCUUUUGUCAGGGAAGAAACAGCAGCUCUAACACAGUUUGCGAAUGACGGUACCUGAAGAAUAAGCACCGGCUAACUACGUGCCAGCAGCCGCAGUAA
rnacentral:rRNA from 1 species